AUAACGACUCUCGGCAACGGAUAUCUCGGCUCUCGCAUCGAUGAAGAACGUAGCGAAAUGCGAUACUUGGUGUGAAUUGCAGAAUCCCGUGAACCAUCGAGUCUUUGAACGCAAGUUGCGCCCGAAGCCAUUAGGCCAGGGCACGCCUGCCUGGGCGUCUCACA
rnacentral:rRNA from 1 species